rnacentral:rRNA from 1 species
UAACCUGCCCAAGAGAUCGGGAUAACACCUGGAAACAGAUGCUAAUACCGGAUAACAACAGAUGAUGCCUAUCAACUGUUUAAAAGAUGGUUCUGCUAUCACUCUUGGAUGGACCUGCGGUGCAUUAGCUAGUUGGUAGGGUAACGGCCUACCAAGGCGAUGAUGCAUAGCCGAGUUGAGAGACUGAUCGGCCACAUUGGGACUGAGACACGGCCCAAACUCCUAGGGAGGCAGCAGCC